rnacentral:ncRNA from 2 species
UUAUUCCGACAGGGGAGCGUCAAGCCGUUCGCGGCGAAAGGCGCUGAGAGUGCGAUAGAUCGCAGACCCUCGAACCUGCUCCGGUUAGUACCGGCGAAGGAAGUCGAGCAUCUCGGAUG